rnacentral:rRNA from 1 species
GACGAACGCUGGCGGCGUGCCUAAUACAUGCAAGUAGAACGCUGAAGGAGGAGCUUGCUUCUCUGGAUGAGUUGCGAACGGGUGAGUAACGCGUAGGUAACCUGCCUGGUAGCGGGGGAUAACUAUUGGAAACGAUAGCUAAUACCGCAUAAUAUUGACUAUUGCAUGAUAGUCAGUUGAAAGGUGCAACUGCACCACUACCAGAUGGACCUGCGUUGUAUUAGCUAGUUGGUGGGGUAACGGCUCACCAAGGCGACGAUACAUAGCCGACCUGAGAGGGGGAUCGGCCACACUGGGACUGAGACACGGCCCAGACUCCUACGGGAGGCAGCAGUAGGGAAUCUUCGGCAAUGGACGGAAGUCUGACCGAGCAACGCCGCGUGAGUGAAGAAGGGUGUCGGAUCGUAAAGCUCUGUUGUAAGAGAAGAACGAGUGUGAGAGUGGAAAGCUCACACUGUGACGGUAGCUUACCAGAAAGGGACGGCUAACUACGUG